AACGAACGCUGGCGGCAUGCCUAACACAUGCAAGUCGAACGAGACCUUCGGGUCUAGUGGCGCACGGGUGCGUAACGCGUGGGAACCUGCCCGUAGGUUCGGAAUAACUCCCCGAAAGGGGUGCUAAUACCGGAUAAUGUCUUCGGACCAAAGAUUUAUCGUCUUUGGAUGGGCCCGCGUUGGAUUAGCUAGUUGGUAGGGUAAAAGCCUACCAAGGCGACAAUCCAUAGCUGGUCUGAGAGGAUGAUCAGCCACACUGGGACUGAGACACGGCCCAGACUCCUACGGGAGGCAGCAGUGGGGAAUAUUGGUCAUGGGGCGAAAGCCUGCGCCAGCCAUGCCGCGUGUGUGAUGAAGGCCUUAGGGUUGUAAAGCUCUUUUACCCGGGAUGAUAAUGACAGUACCGGGAGAAUAAGCUCCGGCUAACUCCGUG
rnacentral:rRNA from 1 species